rnacentral:rRNA from 1 species
GAAGGCAAGCGGAUCUCUUAAAGCCGUUCUCAGUUCGGACUGUAGGCUGCAACUCGCCUACACGAAGCUGGAAUCGCUAGUAAUCGCGGAUCAGCACGCCGCGGUGAAUACGUUCCCGGGCCUUGUACACACCGCCCGUCACACCAUGAGAGUCUGUAACACCCAAAGCCGGUGGGAUAACCUUUAUAGGAGUCAGCCGUCUAAGGUAGGACAGAUGAUUAGGGUGAAGUCGUAACAAGGUAUC